AUGUAUGAAACGACUGCUAUAAUCACAUGCAGUAAAACAUUAGGAAUGGAAAAUCAUUAAAACAGGGUACUGGGAACCAGGCAACAAAGCAGCAAGGCCAGAAGCCAUGAGGGCUGUCCACUGGGCAAGGCCAGCUACAUGAAAAACAACAGGAAGUGGUGCCUGGGCUCCUUUGUAUAAGGCAGCAGGGAUGCUUUUUGCCCAUUUAAGAGUCUUUACCGUCUAACGUUACUGUCAAAGAAAGAAUAAUAAGAAAGAAAAAUAUUGUGGCAGAAUGAAAGAUGGAUUGGAGAGAAGAAGGUUAUAUCCAGUUUUAGCUUCACAGAUCUUCACACCUAUUACAUUACAUGGAGUCAAAACAGAAGCAGCCAAAUUAAAGCCAAGGAGAGACAUGCGGCAGAAUCGGUAGAAAGCAAAAACUGACCCAAUAA